AACCUCCCCCGCUGCCAGGCUCACCCCAGGCUCCGAGUGCUCCGGUUCUCUGUACCCGUGCUUCGGCGCUGGCCUCUGCCGGGAGCAGCCGGAGGGGGAGAGAUGGGGACUCUUGGAAGGAGCACUGGGGAGCAGGAAGGCUCCCCCUGGACCGAGGCAGGAAGAGUGAGCACUGGGUGAGACUCUGGCAGAGCACAAAGCUCGGACACUGGGUGCCUACAGUUCAGGGCGUAUCCAGGGCACAUCCCCGCCCCUAGGAGCUCAGCUGGAGGGGCUACCUUCUGGGACUCUGGUAACAGAUCUUCAAACUCAUAGCAGUCGGCAUCAUACUCUGUGCUGCGAUGCGCCCUGUGCCCACAGUGUCCAGCCCUUUGCUAAGAACCGAGGGCAGACAGAUUCCAUUGAUCCUUGCAACAAGCAGAAGGCAAUAAUGACAGACAUUUCUAACCCUUUCAUUUUCUCCCAGACCCUUCCUGGAUAUUCCUUUUUUUUUUUUUCCCCCUUUCCAGUACUGGGAAUCAAACUCAGGUCUUUGCCCUUGCCAGGCAGGCAUGGCACUACUGAGCAACAUCCUCGGCCUCCAGGAUAUUCUGUUUUGCAACAAACUGUACUGCCCAAGCCAAACAGUUCUAAGAGACGACAGCAUCCAGUCUUCCUCAGACGAGCUUCUCAAGUAGCUGGGAUCUGCUCUCAGCUCUAACAGUCUUCUUGGGAGAACUACCACAGGACCACGCCACAACCACCCUGGAGGGUCAGCUCAGUGAGUAAGGACCUCCCACUAAGCCUCCCCUCGGCAGAGCCUCACCACCUGGACACCAGCGCACCAAAGACCAAGCCGUCAGCAUCAGAGCCUUGGCCACACCCAAAACAGCCCGGGCUACAUAGUGAGUUCAAGGCCAGCCUGAACUACAUAGUGGAGCCUUGUCUCAAAACAAACAAACAAAGCAAAAC
rnacentral:lncRNA from 1 species